ACCUCUCCAUAAUGAGGGCAUCCUCAACCAAGACUAUACCAUCCUCUCCUUUGAUGCACUUCACUUGGUCAAGGUCACGAGCCCUCCUCUCCCUGGCCUUGGCCAUCCUAUACAACUUUUUAUCUCUGUCUUUCUCCUGUAAAGUUGCAUACAAACUCUCAAAAGUUGUUGUCUUAGCCGUCGUAACCACUAACUUAGCCUCUCUUCUAGCUACCUUAUACUCCUCCUUAUUCUUCUGCUUGUACUCAUUAUCCUUGCUCCCAACCAACUUAGCAUAAGCCACCUUAUUAGACUCUAUCUUUCUUUUGACCUCUUCGUUCCACCACCAUUCUCCUCAAUGUUUGCCAAAUCGACCUCUCGAGACACCCAACACCUCUCUAGCAGUCUCCUUAAUACAACUGCCAGUCAUCUCCCACAUAUUAUCCACACCCCCUCUACUCUCCCAUGCCCC
rnacentral:lncRNA from 1 species